UAUUUAUACAUCAUCUUUCCAGCCCGCCUAGCAACACCCACAAACAACGUCACGACGCAACGUGGUUAAACAGUACGUUUAUUAAAGUAACUGGGUGAACGACAACGGAGCGGACUGCAAAUCGCAACGCUACUUUCUCGAGUGCAGAUACUCUUCGAGACGGCUAAACAACGUGUCCAACUCGCUGAGACCUUUCCGCGUGCCGUUAUCCGAUUUCCUUUCCGCCUCCUGAGACAGCCGACUAAUCACGGACUUAUCUCCGCAACCUAACAGAGGCUGGGAGCCCGACAAAAGUAAAACAGCGUGCUAUGAACACGUUGUUACCUCUGCGCGGACAGCGCCGCCACAGAGACACUUACGCAUUGCCGCAUGUCUUUGUAGAUGGAUUCUAGCGUCGAGCGCAUACUAUGCAAUUCCGUCUUAAGUCCGGGAUAGACGUGGUCGCCUGCGGGGAACACGAUCUCCAGAUACCGCCUCAACAACCAGUCCACGACGCUGCAUCCCCAACAGCCUUUGACCACCGUACCGUCGAGCCACACGGAGUAGUCGUCCUCACGUUGCUACAAGAGGAAAACUACGUCACCCGACACGCGGAAAAGAAAGGCCGUCGCAAUAAACCGUACCUACGUGACCUACCAACGUAGGUUUUACUCGAUGAAAGGUGACGCGGAGAUCUUGCAAUCUGGUCGCGUAAUCCUCCGGACGACACUGCGGCUUUGUAUUCUUUAUCGUCGUCGUCGUCGCCGGCUUCGCCUCCUCGGAAGCGCCUAGAAAAAAGACGAUCAGGACCAGAGAGGAAGAGACCACCACCGACAGCAUCGCCGCAGCAUGCCGCCCCAGUCCGCCGCCCAACUACGCGUCCCAGGUAGGUGGUCCUUUAUGUUAUGAUGUUUUUGUCAAUUUUUUUUUUCAAUUUCUUUCUUCCGCGGUUAGAAUAGUUUCUGUAGGAACCAAUUAUCAAUCUGACGGGUUAUCGUCACCACUUGAUGGCAAAACGAAAUUUUUUUUUCAUUGCCUUGAAGUCUCUCCCGCCACCACCACCACCGCCGCCGUUGUCUCCGGCUGGAGAUCAAGACGAAAUUCCUCCUCUCUAAAAAAAAAAAAGGUGGUGGGCUCAAUUGAUCAUGGCAAGAAGAAAAACUAUACUGAAUUGUGUGCAAAACUACUAGUAACAACAAAAAUAGCGACUAGAUACACCACGGACAAUCUCAGCAGAUACUCUCUCAAAAGAAAAAAAGACGCCGUAACGUCGGAGAAUCUGGUAUCUACUGCCUGACGAAUUUUUUUUUCGUCCAUGUAUGUGAUUACGAGUAGUAGUGGUAUGUAGAACAAGAAGAAAAAUCGUAGUCCCCAAAAGGAUAAUAAAAAUAACACUCAUAGAGAAUCACAGAUUUUCUCUAGACAACUCUCUAUCCAAAUAACGAAUGUGAAGCGUACAAAGUAAGAUAUUCAAAGAAUAGCACCUUCAUAGAUUCAUUUCAGCUUUCUACUCCUUGUAAUUUAAAGUUGCACUAAACAAAGCUCUUAAAGAAGGUUCGAGCCGCUCUCGAUCACUCAUCGAUCACGCGAGUCUUAUUAUUCCACCACAACGUAACAUUCUUCACUUUGUAGAGACACUUUAUCGUAGAGUAACCCUCGAUUUCCUAGCUGUUGUUUUUUGAUUAUUUUGUUCGCUCUAAGAGAGAUACUCGAAAUCCUACUUACACCAAGGACCCUACAUCAUCGCAGGAAGAAUAAACAUACCGUAGAAAUCUCGACACGCAAACGCGAAUGUACACGAACCAAAAGCCACAGACCCACUAUUUCUGUGCCGUAUUUUUUUUUGACAAUCUGUCUGAAUCUGCGGAAAUAGUUACGGAGAAGCAAUUCUGUUAAAAAAUUCAGUACGUUAGCAGCAAAAGAUAAUCAUUUCGUGUGAUAGCAAGUAAAUCACCUCACUUAGGAUCGAUUUCGUGCGAAAAAAUUAUUUUUUCUCCUAAUCAACAGAUAAUAUGGUUACCAUUUAGAGUAGUGUCACUUUACUUUCACGGAAGAUGCAACCCCCGAGAAAAAGAAGAAUCGAUCAUAGAUAAAAGAAAUCAAGCCAGACUUGUUAAGAAAAAAAAAGAUCAAAAAAUUACUACCUAAAAAGAACGCCUAGCCAUUGGGAGACGCGCACGUCUGUGUGGUCUCCGCGAUCAUGAGAACGAAAAAAAAGACACGACAAUACACAGGCUGACCUUUGAAAACCAAGCCUAUUGAUAAUAAUCUACCCCAUAGAACAGGAUAUAAUCAAGCAUCCAAACAACAAACAGCGCCGCCGUGCCUCCUCCAGAGGACGGUGACGACGUAUGUCUGUCGUCUCCCUUCUCGCUCUGGCUUCUGGGGCUCUCCUCCUCUCCCCAUCAUCUUCUCCUUCGUCCCAGACAGACGGCUAUCGGUUCGCGCGCUCGUCUUUUCUUCGAUGUGCGCAGGUUUCGUCAUCGAAGAAGAAGACCGCGACCGUAUCAUAAUGAUGAUAAUAAUAAUACAUUCACCGACCAUCUUUAUCCUCUUUUGUUGUUCCAAAGAGAAAAGAAAAAAAAAACAAGCAGCCACUCUAACCAUCACACUCACGAGUUAAUAUGGGGUUAGGGGGGAGGAAGAGAAAUACCGCCAUGAAGGCAAGAGCAGCAGCAGCAACGACGUCACUACGAUGAUUGAUGAUGAUACACGACUACCACUGGAGGAGAGGAAAACGGAGAAAACUCAUCGUGAUGAUGGAAACAAGAAUGAUGAUAAUAAUGAUGACGAUAAAGCCACCACACGAUAUAUACAGAGAACAACAAAACCACCACCACGACGAUGAAACAAAACGCUCAACCAAACAUUGUGUAACCGCUACGCGUCCGUGGCCGCGGCCGGCGGCCUCUUGUCUUGUUUUUGUCGUCCCCUUCGCGGGGGACAUCAUCGCCGCCGACCCGCGUGUGCCCUGCCUCACGGCUGGUCCGUGAUGAACUCUUGCUCGUAACCGCCAAGCGAUAAACAAGCCACCGUGAUAGAAGACACCUUAUAGGACCAUAUCCUAGUUACAUAGUAGUGCAUAUAUAUAGUAAUAGUAGAAUAGGUGAACUUUAGACACGAUAGAUGAAGCCAUAGUCUGAAUAGUCAUGAUGUUAGGAACACUAUACGACUAGUACAUACAUACACCCCCUUAGGAGGAACGAUGAAUCAAAGAAUAAUACAUCAUGUAGCAUAAGUACAUUAAGCCUUUAAACGAACAAAUCGUUAACCAAAAUCGAUCACCACCAUAGACGUACUAUCAUCAUUACAACGAAAAACUAGACGGAUGGAUAGCUGUAAGUCUCACCUAGCUAACUAACGAUCACAUUUUUUCUCCACGAUAUAGUCACCACAACCAUGAAUGAUAGCCGCCUAUUUGAAGUUUGAUAUCUCGACGAAUCUCUAUAGUCAUAGCCCGUUCUUUUUUUCCAAGUAUCCUUUAGUCCAUAAGCAUUAUUAUAACCGUAUUACCCAGAAAUCUUUGUUAUGAGUCUCUUCGCUGUCAACUGAUUAGUAGCAAGUUGCUGUGAUUUUUUUUCCAAUCCCAUAGGCAUCCUUAGUUAAAACAUUAAGAAGUAAGUAGGUUCUGGAUAGCUAAUCAUCUUUUUUUUUUUACUUCGGUAGAUUAAAACAAAUGAAACACGUAGCUGUUGUUUUUUUUGGUGAAUAUAGUUUGGUAAGUCCUUAGCGGGUAAGUUCUAAGAAACAUUAGUUACUUUUUAUUGUUCUGUCUCCUCUCCCCCUACCUUACGUUGGGAGGUAGCUUCGUCAUGUAGGAUAAUAAUUAGGUAAGCAAACAACAUAGAUAGUGAUUUUAGUAUAGAUAACUCGUGUAAGUGUUUUAGUGACUUGUAACUCGACUCGGUAGACUUCUCAGAGUUUCGCCUCACACAGGCGGGUACACUCGUUAAGAAACGCAAAAUACCUAAAAGGGUACGUUACAUAGCAGAUAAGUUGAUAGAUGACCGAUAUUAUACUUCAUUAACUCACGAAGAUGACUGUAAGUAAGGAUAUUGUUGUUCAUGAUAGUAGCCAGGUUAUAAGGAUCAUAUAUAUCUCGUCAGGGAAAUACAAGUUAGACCAUAAUGUUGACUACUUUAGAGAUAAUAAGACACCAUAGGAUUCUGAAUUUACCAUGAUAUAAGUUAAGAAGAUUGAUAUCUGUCCUUUUUUUGAAACGAAGAUAGGCCUUUUUAUUUUUUCGAAUUCAUGUUCGAAAACACAAGCUUCCAUAACAAGAACCCGUACCGAAGAAAAGUUCCAUCGACUAAAAAGAAAAAAGAAAACGAAGCAAGACCUCGACGACAGCAACACAUCAAAGAAAGACGACCAGCUGAUUAUGUUCUUAGGAAUUCCACACACCCGCGAGCCGAUCCGCAAACGUCGUGCGAGGCGCACUUUCUCUGGCUCGACACAAUGAUCACACCGCACGCUAUAGACACGUCGUCGUGGACGACGAUGACCUCAGGCCACGAAUGACAACCAACAUGGGCAAAGUCCAAUUAGCCAAAAAGACGACGAUUCUAAGAAUUGAUGAAUCCUCGAUAUACGCCUAUCGAUAGGUUUCAAUUGUGUCAUAUACAUCAAAUGAAAAACAGGACGCACGAUAAAAGCUUCCUUACAGCAUAACUGUAACAUACGAUCAUCGAACAUCUCCUCACAUACCUUUCUCCUCUCACAUAGGAAAACAAAACUCUUUUUUUUCUUUCCUGUCAAGGAAAAAAUCAAUGUACCACCACAUCACUUUCUGCUCGGUCCCGGCGACGGAUGGGCGCGCACGCGGACAAAGACCCACCGGCCACUUCCACUUAUUUUUUGUUGUUAAUCGUCUUCUCCCCCGCACGCGGAGCACCACCAAGCCUAGCUGCUCAUUCGCUCAACCAGUCACACCGCGCACGCGAGAAGGGGCCGGGGUCCGCGGGCACCGCCGCCGGAGGCGCGGUUCCCUCUCUCUAAUUCCCUGGAAAACAAGUAAUGACAAACAAAAAGACGACAAAAGGUCUCUAUUCUGCUACAUGAGAGAAAUUAUAGCUGUUGGCAAUUUUUCAAAAUACAUGUUAUAAGGCAUCCUCUCUGCCACACGCGCAGUCACGGAUAGGAUCAGUGCGUAUUCAUUAUAAAAAAAACACAAACAACCCAUAUAUGUGAAGCAGAAUGAUGACCGACCGCACGGAGCGACGCCGUCGACUGACCCACGCGGCAUGUACGCCGUCCGCGAACAACCAAAGGACGACCCGUCUCCCCCCGCACCCGGGUUUUUUCCUCUUGGUCGAACCCGGCUUGCGACGACGGGUUGUUCCUUUACCGGACGACGGUCAGCCGCGGGGUUGAUACCCAGCGACGGCGUCGCUCCCACCCGGGUUUCUUUCUCUUGUAGAUACCACUCAUAGACUGUCAGCCUCGCGAGGAGACACCGCGGACCGGGGAAACGGAUAAGUUUACGAACAGAAAUCUCAAGAGAAAGACGCUGACCCGGCAAGUACCGUAACGGAGACACGGUGGUUUUUAUUAAAUUUCCAGUGUAUCGAGCCACCGUGAUGCAGGUACGGUGGUUUUAUGUAAAGUGCCGCUAUCUAUAGGCGAUGUGUUCCCUGACGGUGUGUGUUUUUUUGGGGAUAGACAACGUGGUUAUUGUACGUGGUUUUUACCCUGCUCAAUAAAGUCACGUUUUCCUUACACGGUGUUGUGUC
rnacentral:lncRNA from 1 species